UACGUAGGGCGCAAGCGUUGUCCGGAUUUAUUGGGCGUAAAGAGCUCGUAGGCGGUCUGUCGCGUCGGCUGUGAAACCCCGAGGCUCAACCUCGGGCCUGCAGUCGAUACGGGCAGACUAGAGUGCGGUAGGGGAGACUGGAAUUCCUGGUGUAGCGGUGAAAUGCGCAGAUAUCAGGAGGAACACCUGUGGUGUAGACAGCUUACUGGACCAUUUCUGACGCUGAGACACGAAAGCGUGGGUAGCAAACAGG
rnacentral:rRNA from 1 species